rnacentral:miRNA from 1 species
UGGUCCUGUGGCAUAAUCUUG